AUUCGUGGGCGACCUCACAGACGCCUCUAAUAGAUUUUAUUGUAUCUGUUCUCAAACAAACCACACUCAUUGCAAUUAGAACGUGGCCGAGACGAGACGAUCCGAAAAUCAGAGCAAAACCAAGAUGGAUAAACAGCUACUCUGGCUUUGUAUCCUGGCCUGCCUUCUGUUCCAGGCCUCUUCCAUACCCGUCUCGGAGAGCGAAGUUACUCGGGAGCGACGUUCGCCAUGUUCAUCUGGAGGCUGCAGUUUUCUGAAGAAAGUGAAGUUUUCGAGGCGUAAAAGACCAGGAAGACCAGGAAGAAGACGACCUAAUCGCUUCAGGGGUUCCAGAGAGUGGGGAUUACCAGACGAUGACUUGACUGAUAUCAUUGGAUAUAACGACCAGCAGAAAUCCAUCGAUAAUUAAUUUAGCUUAACAGUUUCAGAAUAUUCCACUCUCAUCUGAUAGCACUGUAGAAUAGAUCUCUGUGUACUAAUAUCAUAUUAUUCUGUAGCCUAAUUUCGCACUGUAAAGCAUGAGUUGUUCACUUCUUUUUAAAUAUAGAAGUCUUCGUUUUAUUAGAAGCUGAAUAAAAGUUGUAUCCUUAAUCAA